CUAGCAAACAUCAAGCUGGACUAGUGGUAAAUAGGUUGAGAGGUCUGGGAGCUGUGUAUUGGGGUGGGCCUAAUUGUGGGCUGGGUAUCACUGAGACCAGAAGGUCUGAGAGUUGUUUACUGGACUGGUCAUAGAUCCAAGCCAGCUACUUCAGGACCAGAGGUCUGAGAUGGGUAAAGUGAAUGUGCCUUUCUGGAUCCAGUGACAGAAAAAGAAGAAAAUAUUGAAAAUUCAUUGGAAAUAUGUUCCAAUGAAUAACCUGCACCAGGAUGAUUACACUUGGAAUGAAACAAAGCAGACAAUCAGACCAGAUGCACCUCUGAGUAAGAGCCUAAAGCAGCCCUGGGAGAGGAUCUGAAGGUGUUACAUGAGACACAUACCACCUGGAACAGAGGGAAGUGUAAGCAGAAAUCCCACCUCCAAAGUUAGUGUGGGCUUCAUGGAGAAGCACUGCUUGCCUGAAGGGUCCUGUCUUGUACCACAAGAACAAGAGCAGAGCACACAAGUGUCAGACCAGGGCCAUGCCCUUACUCCAGGGCCCUGGUUCUGCAC